AACUCAUUGUGUAUUUCUGGGGUGUGCCCCAUGAAUAUACAGAAAAAAAAAUGGUUACUGUAAUAAAGGAAAUCAACUUACCCAUCAUCUCACAUUCAUGUUUGUAAAUGAGCAGCUGAAAUCUCUUUAUCUAACAAAUCAUUUCUUUCCUUUUUUAAAUUGAAGCUGUGGGUUGUUUUUCAAUAAUCUUAUGUCAUUUUUAAAUAAUUAUCAUUCCAGACUAAUUAGAAAGAUUGCUGGAGCUACAUCCUCCUUCCCCAUGGAAAAUCUGAACCUCCAUUUUUUAGCCAUUAGGACAGGACAGAGACUCUGUGCUGUGUGUUUCAAGAAACCCAUGGUGUUGGCCAUGUGAAGGGAUUCUUGGAGGACAUGAUCGACAUUCAAUACCUGCAGAACCUGAAAUCUGUCCAUGCCCGACAUGGUGCUGGGCAAACUCAACAUCCAGAUGCCAUCUGCCGCCCAAUUCCUCAGUUUCUCUGUUAAACGUUCUUCUACUGCCCCCUCCCUUCCUAUGAGGCCUCUUCCAUGCAAAAAUUCUAGAAGCAAGAAAACCAGUCUCCCAGGAUGCUCACAACCACAGCAUUCAAAAGGAAUAGAACUCGCCUUAAACUUUUUGUGAAAAAAUAAAAUAGAAAUAGAAAAAAAUUAUAAAAAUAAAAUAUUGUGGUGCCUACAAGGAAGAGACCUUGCUCUAUGUGGGACGUGGGCUUCUGAGGAUGUGGAAGGCUCCCCAGAAUGCCAUAUUCCACUAUAGAUCUUCCAUAGUCAUGUAGAGGCCAAAUUGCCAAGAAAAUUGUUCCCCAGAUAAUUGCCUGACAGACAUGUUAGUAAGUAAGAAGUAAAGAGUAGGAGACAAGACUGGGAAGACAGGGAGAUGGGCCUGGGUCACUUCCUGGGCAGUGAGUACAAACAGCACCUGCAGAUAUUUGCUAAGAAACUUACAAAAAGGCUAUUUUUAAGUCAGGACCUAUGUGACUCUGGUCCGUGCCUUUCCAAGGAAGGAAAAAGGCCUGAUGGACAUAUUGAUUGGACAAAAGGCUUCAUGGACACCCCGUGGACACUGCAUGAAUGAAUAUACUUUGUGACUUUUUCUAAUUGUGCUAAUUAAUGCAAGUAAUGGCUUCUUUGUCUUGUAGGGCUUCUACAGAACAAGCAGUUGUCGUUUGGUAUCAGGGUUAACAUAGACUUGGCACAUUUAUUUUCAUGUGAUUCCCAAUAAUUCAUAUGCAUUGCAAAUAGGUGAGAUUUCAAAAUUACUGAUGGUAUUUCUGGGUGAUGAAUUGGGUGAGUCAAUUUCUUCAUUG
rnacentral:lncRNA from 1 species